rnacentral:tRNA from 13 species
CGGGUUUUAUUGGUUUCUUUCAGUGUCUGGUUUCCAGUGAUAACGCCCAGCAGUGGGCAUACGAUGAUAUUUAUUAAGCGGAACCACCCGGGGUAAGGUCAAUGCCGACCCAAUAUUUGCACAAGUGUUCCCAUUACGUCAGUGGAAGAGGAGCUGCAGUAUUUUGAAAUGCCAGCAGAAUUGGAGCAAAAUAAGCCGAUGGCUUAACUCGCUUUCCUUAGCCCCAGUCCCAGAUAAGCUGAGCAGGAGUCGAGGGUCUGAGCCUCUCGAGUCAGCAAUUUCAAAUAUUAAAUUUGCAUAUGAACUUGCAGCUGACGCCAUCGGGCGACGUGAAAUGACCCUGAUCAUCGCCCACGACAAACAGUUUGGCUUUGAUUGUUUUUCCAAAACGAAGGGAGAGGAUGAUAAUGAAAACGUUGGAGCAAAUGGAGGGCUGAGGGAUUGCUUCUGAUGCCCCCGGGUGCUUAUGGUGGCUACAAUUUGCUGAUACAUUGCCAAUUAUUUGCCUCAUUUGAGUCAACCAAAGAGCUGUGUAAUUUGCAUUCUGCCACCCAGAGCACACAGAUUAUUUACAAGAUGAUGUAAUUUCUCAAAAUCGAUUCUGUUCUCCACCAAUGAUGUAACCAAAAAAAAGAUCCCUCCAGGCGGUGGGGCAACCAGCCAAUUAAGCUGUGACUCACCGUAUAUUGGCUUUAGGCGAUGAUAUUAGACGUUUAUUGAUAUGUAAUUAAAGCAGUGAGUGGCUUUACUCAGCAAGAAACCAACUCAAGGCUAUUUUGCAUGGAUAAACUAUGAGGCAAGUAUCCUUUAAUUUGCAUUUCUUGUAUCAGAAGCCUUUGGAAACAAAGAAAACUGCCUGAUCUGAAACUUUGCAGGCUACCCUUGCACUUCUUAAACUGCAUGCAGAUAAUGCUAUCGCCCAGUCUGAAUUCUUCUGUUCAAGUUCAUUGGCUGGACGAUAAUGUACAUAUAGUGCACCGUGGGCAGCGUUUCAUAAAUCGGGGCACUCGAGCGUAGCCACUGGCGAUUAGGAGGCUAUCAAACUUUUGCCAAACAGCAGCUGACGACGCUCGUUAAACUCAUUUGUAAAUCACACGAUAAAGCUGCUGCCAACAAUGGAGGCAAAAUGACAGAUCUUCAUUUGAUUUAAAUUUUCUGAUAUUUCAUAAACAGCAUAGAAAAGCAAAUAUAUGUAUAUGUAAAUUAAAUGUAAACAUUAAAGUAUUUCAGCAUGACAGGAUUUUUGCAAAAUUUCCAUCCGUAUGACACACAUAUGGUAGGCAUAACAAGUUCUGUUUAUUCUAACAUUUCUAUAACGAAAUAGCUCUUUAUGCUGAUUAUAAUGAUGAUGAAAUCAAGCAAAUGGCUCGUCGUACUAACUGGGCUAAUUAUUGCAGAAGAACAGCGAACGAAAUGGAAUUGAAAGUGGAGCUCAUCGGGAGAUGUAGUUGGAAAUAUUGCUUAAUAUCAGACAAUGACUAAACUACGCCCCAGAAACAAAGGCACAUCCACGACAAUAGACAAUGGAAGACGAAGACCCCUGUUUUCACCGCCCUUUUACCCCCAACCGCCCCCAGUGGUUUUCCAUAACUGCUAUCAACUGUGUGUAAGUAUUUAGCUAUAUAACUGCCUAUAUAUACAUAUAUACGACUGCCAUGUGAGUGUGAGGGCGGGUUAUUGUUGUUGACGAUGUCGAAAGUAACGGCGUUGUAAGUGUCCAAAGGUGUUGAAAUUGCCAUAACAACAACAACAGUGGUGGAGAUAAUAUUAAUAUAUAAUAAAUUAAUAGCCAGAAUGCACACAGCCAAUGACAACAACAAGAACAGAACAACAAACGAGUGAUAAGAUACGGCGAAAAACGAGGAAGAACAACUACCUCACUAGACACUUUGCUAUACCCCUUUGAAUAUGUUCUUCAAAGAAAGAUACAUUUCCUUUGAUUUGAAUAGAGCGUAAAUAAUAAAUCAAACUAGAACCAGUUGGGAAUUAUAAAUCGCCGUAUAAGGAAAGUGGUUCGAACUCUUAUUUCAACAUAUAGGGUUCUUAAAGAAAUAUUAUAGUAUUAUAUUUACAAAUUCUAGAAGUUUCACUCUAGGAGCUUUCACUGCCCGAAUCAUGACAUGAUGAUGGGGAUGAUGUAAUGGCCUGGCCAUAACCACGGCCUGUCUAACUAGCUUCGUCUUGGGGUCUGUCUCCCACAAAAUAUAUCUAUGUAUCUAUGUAUAUUGUUGUGGUCUGACUCUGGCUCUUUGUGUUCAACACUCGCGGCAAAAAGGGCCCAGUUCAAGAUACAGAAACCGAAUGAAAAAAUCAACUGCCGAAAUGAGCAUGGAAACGUGACAGAAUAAUGGCAUCACAUAAACGUCUCAUUGAUACACGAUAGCUCUGGGUGCUAUUGAAGUAAAUGGCAUACAUAAAGGCCAGACACCACCGCACAAGCCAAAUGUGGGCCAGCAACUCUUUAGACCCCAAGACGCAAAUGGAGCUGGGUUAAAUUACACUGGAGUUUGAGAUAAGUUGAAUAAAGUAUACCAAGUCAGCAUAUUGUUUUUGUUUGUUGAUCCCCAAGUCUGAUCUAAGUUAGGUCUUAGAAAGGAUCUAGCUUUUUAUAGAUAGAUACUCGAACAUCCAAAGAGUAUAAUCCGGAUAAAGCUGCACAUACUUUUGAUUUAUUCUCUGAAUUAAAAUGUUGAUUUGCAUCAAGAUUGACAAUCUCAGCGCCAAUUUGCCAUUGCCAUCUCUCAGAUGCAAUAGCAUCUGAAAGUGUAUCUGCAUCUGAAAACCGGUUGGAACCGUUCACCCGCCAGAUAUUCAUAUUCAUACAGAAUGCAUAAUAGCGGAGGCGGCACUAGAGGCCACUCAACCGGGCGCAAAUUACGUCAUACGAUCGAGCGGUGCAUUUAUCCAGUUGGAUUCACAUCAUUCCGCACCGCACUCACCGCAACUGGACUGUUUACUUGGAUUGCCACGGCUGAUCAUUAUCAAAAGCCCACCUUUGCAAACAGCGUAGUGUAAAAGCAAAAGUUGGUCAAUUAAUAGAAUAUCGAAAGGUUUCCCCAAGUGCGUAUAAAUUAUCAUGGCAAAUCGGUCGCUUAAUUAACCACAAUUGCGGGCUGUGCAUAUAGACACACACACACAUAGUCAAGUACAAAGACUGGCGAUGUGUCUGCCCUCCUUUGAUCGAUGUCAAUUCGUGAGUCAACCGAAUGCAUGAGGCAGCUCCAAAUGGAAAAACGGAAAAAAGUGCACGGAAUAAAUCGUAGUAAAGCCGAUUAAGAAAUCGGUGAAUGACAAGCCAACCUGUUGCCGAUUUAUCCAUCGAUAACGAUCGGAAUCGAAUCGAUGUAUGAUUGCACAUAAGUGGGGCUUAUCAGUUUUUCAUUUUUGUGUUAUCACCUAGUAGCAUAGCGUGAGGUCAUUUCCGUUCGUGUAUUAACUUACAGUUUCACGGAUUAUGACUAAGUCUUUAAUGAUCAGCAGAUGAGUCAUAUGAACCAAAAACCACGACACGUUAAAAUUCCAAGCCAAUCAGUAAAUUUUUUAUAAAAUUAAAUAUUAUAACAUAUCAAUAUUAAUUUACUUUGGCGCCAAUCAUAACUAUCAAUCAGUGAAUCAAGAGCUUUUUGAAACACAACCGAAGAUAAGAUUAUUUGAUUGGAUGAAAGCUUUUAGAUUGUUUACAGAAGCAACACAUUAACCAAUUAGUAUUAUAGAUCUACUUUUUAUGGCAUAUAUGUACAUACAUAUAUGUGUCACUAUGCAAUUGUCACAGAAGUGAAGUGGCGAAAAAAACAAAC